rnacentral:rRNA from 1 species
AGUGAACGCUGGCGGUAGGCCUAACACAUGCAAGUCGAACGGCAGCACAGUAAGAGCUUGCUCUUACGGGUGGCGAGUGGCGGACGGGUGAGGAAUACAUCGGAAUCUACUUUUUCGUGGGGGAUAACGUAGGGAAACUUACGCUAAUACCGCAUACGGCCUACGGGUGAAAGCAGGGGAUCUUCGGACCUUGCGCGAUUGAAUGAGCCGAUGUCGGAUUAGCUAGUUGGCGGGGUAAAGGCCCACCAAGGCGACGAUCCGUAGCUGGUCUGAGAGGAUGGUCAGCCACACUGGAACUGAGACACGGUCCAGACUCCUACGGGAGGCAGCAGUGGGGAAUAUUGGACAAUGGGCGCAAGCCUGAUCCAGCCAUACCGCGUGGGUGAAGAAGGCCUUCGGGUUGUAAAGCCCUUUUGUUGGGAAAGAAAAGCAGCAGGUUAAUACCCCGCUGUUCUGACGGUACCCAAAGAAUAAGCACCGGCUAACUUCGUG